CUGACACUUACCUCCAUCCUUCAAGUUCUAGUCUGCUUGCAUUCCAUGACUAAUGGCCAUUUGGAUUGCUCGUGACUUUGCAUUGUUAUAAACAGGUCGAGCUGUCAUCACACACACACGCUAGAGAGAUGGCUCAACAGCUAACGUGCAUACCAUUCCCCCAGAGGAUCUGAGUUCAUUUGCCAGCACCCACAUCAGGAUGCUCACAACCACUGUUAGUGCUACCUGUUCUAGGAUCUUGAUUACGUGGGACCCAAACGUGUGUUCUGCUCAUCUCUCCAAGUAUACUGUCAGCUUCUUCAAGUGGACAUUUGGGAUUACUUCUACAUUCUCUACUGUGAACAGUGAAUAUGAAAAGAAAAGCAGCACCAAGAAUUGAAGAACCCUUGACCAAGAGCUUUACAGAUUAAUUAUUAAGGGCUGGCUGCCUUGAACUUGAAAGUUCCAACCCUUUCUGUGUACAGUGAAACCAAUGUGGCAAAGAGCUCGCCGCUUGGAAAUGGAGUCCUCGACUGCAGCAGAAGGGUGGGUCUUCCUUAUUUCAAGAAUAACUUGUUUUCCUGAAAUAUGUGUGGGAGUCCUGUUUUGAUGAACUUGGGGAAAUUACUACUUGAAGAAAUCUUAUGGUGACAUGUUUAAACUAAUGAUAUCAAACCAUUGAAUUAAUCCAUUUCAUCUCUCAAUACAUCUUCUGCUUUAUAGAGUUGAGAUUUAUUCACGUACCAAUUAUCCAAGAAAAAAAUUCAUUUAUGUCAAUGUACCUAUCCAGCUUAGUAAAUACCAACAGUGAGCAAAUACAUGCUGACUUAAGAAAGGAAAUCCAUGUUUCUUCCUUAAAGUAAAUUGUUUCAUAAAGGGAAGAAAGAAACAUUGCCUGAUGGACCUACUAUUUUUUAAUGGGACAAGAAGCUGUGUAGGAACAAGAUUAGCUUUUUCCACUGUUCCCAUCUAUCAGAAG
ensembl:lncRNA